AGAGUUUGAUCCUGGCUCAGGACGAACGCUGGCGGCGUGCCUAAUACAUGCAAGUCGAGCGAGCGGAACUAACAGAUUUACUUCGGUAAUGACGUUAGGAAAGCGAGCGGCGGAUGGGUGAGUAACACGUGGGGAACCUGCCCCAUAGUCUGGGAUACCACUUGGAAACAGGUGCUAAUACCGGAUAAGAAAGCAGAUCGCAUGAUCAGCUUUUAAAAGGCGGCGUAAGCUGUCGCUAUGGGAUGGCCCCGCGGUGCAUUAGCUAGUUGGUAAGGUAAAGGCUUACCAAGGCGAUGAUGCAUAGCCGAGUUGAGAGACUGAUCGGCCACAUUGGGACUGAGACACGGCCCAAACUCCUACGGGAGGCAGCAGUAGGGAAUCUUCCACAAUGGAUGCAAGUCUGAUGGAGCAACGCCGCGUGAGUGAAGAAGGUUUUCGGAUCGUAAAGCUCUGUUGUUGGUGAAGAAGGAUAGAGGUAGUAACUGGCCUUUAUUUGACGGUAAUCAACCAGAAAGUCACGGCUAACUACGUGCCAGCAGCCGCGGUAAUACGUAGGUGGCAAGCGUUGUCCGGAUUUAUUGGGCGUAAAGCGAGCGCAGGCGGAAGAAUAAGUCUGAUGUGAAAGCCCUCGGCUUAACCGAGGAACUGCAUCGGAAACUGUUUUUCUUGAGUGCAGAAGAGGAGAGUGGAACUCCAUGUGUAGCGGUGGAAUGCGUAGAUAUAUGGAAGAACACCAGUGGCGAAGGCGGCUCUCUGGUCUGCAACUGACGCUGAGGCUCGAAAGCAUGGGUAGCGAACAGGAUUAGAUACCCUGGUAGUCCAUGCCGUAAACGAUGA
rnacentral:rRNA from 1 species